rnacentral:tRNA from 1 species
GCAUCUGUAGCUCAGUGGAUGGAGCUUGUGCUUUCUAAGCAAAAGGUCGUGGAUUCGAAUCCUACUUAACGCG